rnacentral:lncRNA from 1 species
GAAGCUUCAUGAGACCGAUCCUCGUCUGUGGACAGAGGAGUAGCUGACUCUGAAGCCCAGGCUGUUGCUAUCCAGUCUGGUGGUGAAUCCUCCACAGUCUGUUUAGAGCAAUUGGACGAAGUAUAUUUUUGUGAGCAAAUUUACCUUUCUCUCUGAAUUCUCCAAAAUUCAGAAACCGUGAGUAUUCUGAUUUUAUGAAAAUAUAUUUAUUUACAUAAGUUUAGUAAGAGUCUUUUCUUUUAAAACAGGAUUAUUUGAGACACUGGUUAUUUUACCAGGGCUUUAACUAGAAUAACAUAUUGUUAGGUAAACUUUCAGAAAAGCCAACUUAGAAAGAGCCUAUAUGGCAAUCAAUUCUUGCUGCAAUUUAUGCAAAUAAUCAGGCAAAGUACAAUGAGCCUAAAACUUAUUUUGCACACAAAUUAGUCUUACUAUAAUUUCUCUUCAAUAGGAAAGGAGGGCUAGAGAGAGGAAGAAAUUGUUUCAAAGUAAAACUAUUAUACUUUUUACUAGAUUUCAGCCCUGACUUUUGUUUUUGAGUGUAGAUUGAAUCAUGAAUUAUUUCUUGGCUACAAGAUGCAAAUUUCCCUCAUUUGGCAUUCCACUGGGCCUGAUCUGUUUUUCACUGCAAAUACCCUGCUGUUUAAGGCUAUAGAAGCCCCCUCCCUCUAGGCCCAGAGACUAUCAUGGAAGAGGUUGGCACAUAAGAUUGUAAGGGCUGGUUUUGAGGGAUAGAAGUAGAUCAAGGUCAGACACUCCAAAUCAAAGAUGGGUACAAAUACACCGAAACGGCUAGUAAAACAAAGGACUUUGUUUUCUGAGCUAUUAUGUAGCACCUUUUCAUUCACCUCAACCAUAAGGAAUUUCCUGCUUCCCAUACAAUUAAGAGAAAAUAAUUACUAAGAGGAUUAUGAUACCUCGUGACCAAGCC